GCAGCAGCAGCAGCAGCAGCAGCAGCAGCAGCAGCAGCAGCAGCAUCACUAAGAACUGCAUCUCCCACUACACUGGGAUUUUGAAAAACCUGUUGCUUGGGGUAGGAAUUCCCAAGUGACUGGUCCAUAAGGGAAGACGACAUGGGGGGCUUUAGUUGCAGAUGAAUCUUUGGAGGGGGUAAUGCCCACCUGAAUCCAUGCACAGUGGGCCUCCUUGCUCCUCUUAGAGUCAGUGAGAAGAGAGAGUUGAUUUAGAAGGGAGGUGCUCUCACCUGCCAGGGUCACCUUGUAUGAGUCUUGGCCCACAUAGGGUCUAGUUAAGAAAAAUUCCUAGAGAUUUCCGCCCCUNNNNNNNNNNNNNNNNNNNNNNNNNNNNNNNNNNNNNNNNNNNNNNNNNNNNNNNNNNNNNNNNNNNNNNNNNNNNNNNNNNNNNNNNNNNNNNNNNNNAAAAUUCCUAGAGAUUUCCGCCCCUCCCCAAGUCCUCCACACUCCUGGAUGGCUUCUAGAGUGAUUAAGACCUCCUGGGUUUUCAGGAUUAUUACAAUAACACAAGAUAUAAAAUCUAUCAAAUGCAGAUACUUACUGCUCCAAAAACAAUGUGAAUUCAAACAGAAGGCUCCAGUUGAGGCUGGAGUUCAAGACCUGUAUUCCCUUCCUCUUCCUGAACUCACAGGAGCCAACCAAUAAGCCAUCUCCACCAGAGUCAGCAAAUCCUGGCCUCUCUUGACAUAAAGAUCUCGGCUUUGGCCCCGAGAUCAACCCAUCCAUGAAUUUUCUCUUGACCACUUUAGCCCAAAUAACAUUGUCUGGAGGGGAGCCAGGAGCCAAAAGAGGUCAGCAUUUUUAACAGUCUCCAUCCCUGCCCUGGGCUCUCAGUACCUUUGCCUGGCUCACUAAGAACUGCAUCUUCUACUACUUUGAGAUUUUGAAAAACCUGUUUCUUGGGACCUCUUCAGCAUGAUGCCCUCGCUUACAGCCAGCUUGGGAACUGCUCUGUCUAGAAGCCAGAAACCACACGCUGGUAAGUCUGUGCUGGAGACGGCAAGGAGGAAAGGUCCAGCCUCCUUCUUCCUAGAGUCAACGCUGGAUUCUUUGUGGCAAAGCCCCUGCUGGAGAGUGUUUAGUCCUCUGGCUUUUCACCUUUUGGACUAUUUGUCUUCAUUACCAUCCUCACCGGAGGCAAGAACCCAGGCAGGAGGUGAUAUGCACAGGAGCCAUUCUCCUGACUAACAGCCCUAUGGGAGGGAAGAAAGGUUGGCGUUCAUGCUUACAAUGAAGCUGACAAUGUUACCCAUGGUGAUUCCAAGUUUCCUCCUUUUUCCUCUGCUCCUGUGACCAACAGUCACCAAGAGUUGGCUCCAAGUCUACUCCGAUGAGUCACAGAAAGACAAAGUAUUGGAGUCUGACUGGGGGAAAAAAACUUUUCUUACCUCAGCAAUAAGGCUGGCCGAAGACAAUGGGACAUGCAGCAGCGAGCCCCGUGGAGUAAGUGGAAAAUUCCAAGACCAGGGGCCAGGGGUUCUUGGAGAAACCAAGGCAGGGAAAGCAUCAGAGGCAGAAAUAUGAGACUCUGGGCCAUGGUAAAAUAAAUUGUUUUAAUGGGAGGUUUUCUGAAAGGGCAACUUUUUCUUGUGCUAUAUCAAACAGCCAGCGUCCCUGCCUUGGCGUUUCCUGGGGCUGUCCCGGCUGGCCCCCCAACCCUUCCGGAAGCUAAGACACUACUCUGACUCUCUGUUCAGCCCUUCCAGGGUGUGUCUUAACAUCAGGAGAUCAGAGUGAGCUGGCAGUCAGUCCAAAAUACACAGUCUCUGUGUGUAUCCAGGGCCAAGGAAGCGGGUCAAGGGCUUCACUUCUGCCUUAGGUAUUUCUCCGUGGGGGAAAGAGAGAGGGGGCGAAUCACUUUGAAAAUUCAACUCUGACCUUUACAAAGAAAACCGAUAGAUGCUUUAGUAUUAUAUACAGGGCAGAGGGGAGAGGAAGUAGAGGGGGGAGAUUGCACUUAAUUACAAUAGUUUAUAGUUUACACCCAUUGGACAAAUUUACUUCUUUAAAAGAAAUCUCCAGAUCAGCCGGGAUGGGGGGCGGGACAGGGG
rnacentral:lncRNA from 1 species